rnacentral:tRNA from 1 species
GUAAAUAUAGUUUAAAAAACAUUAGACUGUGAAUCUAAAGAUAGGAAUCCUUACUCCUUAUUUACC